AGUUUCAUAGUAUAGUGGUUAAUGCAUCUGCUUUACACACAGAAGGCCUUGGGUUCAUGCCCCAGUAGAGCCA
rnacentral:tRNA from 1 species